GUCCGGGUACAUCAAUGGUAGAUCACCUCCACUUCAUUUGUGAUUCCCCAACAAAGAAAUGUACAUCGGAGGAAAUGUGGGUUCGACUCCCACCCCGGGCU